GACGAACGCUGGCGGCGUGCUUAACACAUGCAAGUCGAACGAAGUGGCGAACGGGUGAGUAACGCGUAAUCAACCUGCCCUUCAGAGGGGGAUAACAGUUGGAAACGACUGCUAAUACCGCAUACUGAAGGUGGGGAUUGCGUUGGAUUAGCUAGUUGGAGGGGGAACGGCCCACCAAGGCGAUGAUCAGUAGCCGGGCUGGGAGGAUGAACGGCCACAUUGGGACUGGGAAACGGCCCAGAAUCCUACCGGAGGCAGCCGGGGGGAAUCUUCCGAAAUGGAGGAAAGUCUGACGGCGCAACGCCGGGGUAUUGGUGGCGGCCUUCGGGUUGUAAAGCUCUGUUAAGCGGGACGCGGUACCGGAAUAGAAAGCCACGGCUAACUACGUGCCAGCAGCCGCGGUAAUAC
rnacentral:rRNA from 1 species